AAUCAACGCUGGCGGCGCGCUUAACACAUGCAAGUCGCACGAGAAAGUGGAGCAAUCCAUGAGUACAGUGGCGCACGGGUGAGUAACACGUGGGUAACCUGCCCUUGAAUGGGGAAUAACCCGGGGAAACCUGGGCUAAUACCGCAUACGCUCCUUUUGGCUCACGCCAGGGGGAGGAAAGGCGCAAGCCGUUCGAGGAGGGGCCCGCGGCCGAUUAGCUAGUUGGUAGGGUAAUGGCCACCAAGGCUUUGAUCGGUAGCCGGCCUGAGAGGGCACACGGCCACACUGGCACUGAAACACGGGCCAGACUCCUACGGGAGGCAGCAGUGGGGAAUCUUGCACAAUGGGGGAAACCCUGAUGCAGCGACGCCGCGUGAGCGAUGAAGCCCUUCGGGGUGUAAAGCUCUUUGGCGGGAAAUUAUGAUGUACCCGCUGAAUAAGCUGCGGCUAACUACGUGCCAGCCGCCGCAGUAAG
rnacentral:rRNA from 1 species